CCAAAUAUGAACCCUGGUUCAAAAAACUGUUGCGAUUGAGGAAUUCGCAAUAAACAGGUGGACCCGUAUUAGCAGCUUUGCUAUUUGUCAAUGCAAAGCCAAUGAGUAGCAGCACACCAAAGAGCAAAGAUCUUGAAUAUUUCAUUGCCAUAACUUGGGAAUUUUGAUAUCGAUC